GAGUUUGAUCAUGGCUCAGAUUGAACGCUGGCGGCAGGCCUAACACAUGCAAGUCGAACGGUAACAGGAAACAGCUUGCUGUUUCGCUGACGAGUGGCGGACGGGUGAGUAAUGUCUGGGAAACUGCCUGAUGGAGGGGGAUAACUACUGGAAACGGUAGCUAAUACCGCAUAACGUCGCAAGACCAAAGAGGGGGACCUUCGGGCCUCUUGCCAUCGGAUGUGCCCAGAUGGGAUUAGCUAGUAGGUGGGGUAACGGCUCACCUAGGCGACGAUCCCUAGCUGGUCUGAGAGGAUGACCAGCCACACUGGAACUGAGACACGGUCCAGACUCCUACGGGAGGCAGCAGUGGGGAAUAUUGCACAAUGGGCGCAAGCCUGAUGCAGCCAUGCCGCG
rnacentral:rRNA from 1 species